GAGUGCUCCCCAUCACCCACGCCGACAAAGCGCGCAAGAAGCACAUUCGCCUCACCUGGCGCGCGCCUCGCUCCGGCUCCGGCUCGGUGACGUUCACCGGGACGGUUUUGGAGAGGUACGACAAGUACUGGUCCGACAUGGUGGCUCAGGUGGUUCCGUCCCGUCGCCACUUCUGAGUCCCUCCGCAUCGCAUCGCUUCCCAGUCAAGUCGUGGCAGCCAUCAUUGUCUGGUUUCAUCUAUUUAUUGGUUGUUUAUUGUUUACAUUUUUGGAUUUUAUUUUUUUUUUGUCCCGUCACAAAUAUUUGCGAUCAUCAUAUGUCUUCAGCUCAAGGAAGUAACAAGAUCUGAUAAAGUGGAGGUCGGAUUUGGCGUCUCUCCUUUUACACUUCAUUGGUAAACCUAGCUUUGGAGAUGAUUUUGUGUUGUUUUCGCUAAAUAGUGCAUGGUAUUUAACUUAUGUAGUUUCCAUACACUUUAGGGUUGAAAAUAGAGGUGAAGUUAU
rnacentral:lncRNA from 1 species